AAGUCGUAACAAGGUCUCCGUUGGUGAACCAGCGGAGGGAUCAUUACUGAGUUUACGCUCUAUAUCCUUUGUGAAUUAUAGUACCUGUUGCUUCGGCGGCGCGUCCUCUUCGGGGGCGUGCCCGCCGGUGUUCAGCAUCUCUUGUUUUUGCGAGUUACCUCUGAGUGUUCCAAAGCGAACUGUUAAAACUUUCAACAACGGAUCUCUUGGCUCUA
rnacentral:misc_RNA from 1 species